rnacentral:siRNA from 1 species
UCCGAAUGGUGACAGCGGAUUGAG